rnacentral:rRNA from 1 species
UGGCUCAGGACGAACGCUGGCGGUAUGCUUAACACAUGCAAGUCGAACGAGAAGGAAGAGCUUGCUCUUCCUGAAAGUGGCGAACGGGUGAGUAACGCGUGGGUAACCUACCCUUUGGAAAGGAAUAGCCUCGGGAAACUGGGAGUAAUGCCUUAUAAGAUACGUUUGUCGCAUGGCAUUUGUAUCAAACGCUCCGGCGCCAUAGGAUGGACCCGCGUCCCAUUAGCUAGUUGGUGAGAUAACAGCUCACCAAGGCCACGAUGGGUAACCGGUCUGAGAGGGCGAACGGUCACACUGGAACUGAGACACGGUCCAGACUCCUACGGGAGGCAGCAGUGGGGAAUAUUGCGCAAUGGGGGCAACCCUGACGCAGCAAUACCGCGUGAGUGAAGAAGGUUUUCGGAUCGUAAAGCUCUGUUAUUGGGGAAGAAAAAAAGACGGUACCCAAGAAGAAAGUUCCGGCUAACUACGUGCCAGCAGCCGCGGUAAUACGUAGGGAACAAGCGUUGUCCGGAUUUACUGGGCGUAAAGGGCACGCAGGCGGUUUUUUAAGUCAGAUGUGAAAGGCCACAGCUCAACUGUGGACAUGCAUUUGAAACUGAAAGACUUGAGUAUUGGAGAGGCAAGUGGAAUUCCUAGUGUAGCGGUGAAAUGCGUAGAUAUUAGGAGGAACACCGGUGGCGAAGGCGGCUUGCUGGACAAAUACUGACGCUGAUGGCUCAGGACGAACGCUGGCGGUAUGCUUAACACAUGCAAGUCGAACGAGAAGGAAGAGCUUGCUCUUCCUGAAAGUGGCGAACGGGUGAGUAACGCGUGGGUAACCUACCCUUUGGAAAGGAAUAGCCUCGGGAAACUGGGAGUAAUGCCUUAUAAGAUACGUUUGUCGCAUGGCAUUUGUAUCAAACGCUCCGGCGCCAUAGGAUGGACCCGCGUCCCAUUAGCUAGUUGGUGAGAUAACAGCUCACCAAGGCCACGAUGGGUAACCGGUCUGAGAGGGCGAACGGUCACACUGGAACUGAGACACGGUCCAGACUCCUACGGGAGGCAGCAGUGGGGAAUAUUGCGCAAUGGGGGCAACCCUGACGCAGCAAUACCGCGUGAGUGAAGAAGGUUUUCGGAUCGUAAAGCUCUGUUAUUGGGGAAGAAAAAAAGACGGUACCCAAGAAGAAAGUUCCGGCUAACUACGUGCCAGCAGCCGCGGUAAUACGUAGGGAACAAGCGUUGUCCGGAUUUACUGGGCGUAAAGGGCACGCAGGCGGUUUUUUAAGUCAGAUGUGAAAGGCCACAGCUCAACUGUGGACAUGCAUUUGAAACUGAAAGACUUGAGUAUUGGAGAGGCAAGUGGAAUUCCUAGUGUAGCGGUGAAAUGCGUAGAUAUUAGGAGGAACACCGGUGGCGAAGGCGGCUUGCUGGACAAAUACUGACGCUGA